GCUGGGUGUGGUGGUGCACACCUGUAGUCCCAGCUACUCAGGAGGCUGAGGCAGGAGAAUUGCUUGAGCCCAGGAGGUGGAGGUUACAGUGAGCCAAGAUCGUGCCACUACACUCCAGCCUGGGCAACAAAGCAAGACUCUGUCUCAA
ensembl:misc_RNA Metazoa_SRP Metazoan signal recognition particle RNA